CCCUUAGAUGUUCUGGGCCGCACGCGCGCUACACUGACACACUCAACAAGCUUAUAACCUUGUCCGAGAGGUCUGGGAAAUCUUUGAAUAUGUGUCGUGAUGGGGAUAGAUCGUUGCAAUUCUCGAUCUUCAACGAGGAAUUCCUAGUAAACGCAGUUCAUCAGACUGCAUUGAUUACGUCCCUGCCCUUUGUACACACCGCCCGUCGCACCUACCGAUUGAAUGUUCCGGUGAACACUUUGGAAUCGAGGCAUCGUUUGAGGCAACUUGGACUUUGCCACCGGUGAAGCUGUGUAAACCUUAACAUUUAGAGGAAGGAGAAGUCGUAACA
rnacentral:rRNA from 1 species